AUCUCAUUCAUUACAGGGCCUAGGAUAU
rnacentral:piRNA from 1 species